rnacentral:rRNA from 1 species
ACACGGGGGGUGCAAGCGUUGUCCGGAAUUACUGGGUGUAAAGGGGAUGUAGGCGGGCGAAUAAGUUAAACGUGAAAACUAAGGGCUUAACCUUUAGCCUGCGUUUAAUACUGUUCGUCUUGAGUUCGGAAGAGGAGAACGGAACUUCCAGUGUAGCAGUGGAAUGCGCAGAUAUUGGAAGGAACACCAGUGGCGAAGGCGGUUCUCUGGUACGUAACUGACGCUUAUCUCCGAAAGCUAGGGGAGCGAACAGGCUUAGAUACCCCAGUAGUCC